UCCUUGGUAGUCCAGUGGUGAGGACUUGGCACUUUCACUGCCGAGGGUCCGCGUUCAAUCCCUGGUUGGGGAA
rnacentral:tRNA from 1 species